ACAGCAGGGGGCGGCGGAGCCAAGAUGGCCGAAUAGGAACAGCUCCAGUCUACAGCUCCCAGCGUGAGCGACACAGAAGAUGGGUGAUUUCUGCAUUUCCAUCUGAGGCAAAGCCCUCCUGUUCCCAGCCCCAAGUCGGUUAAACCCAUGUUAAAUCUAUAGGUUGAAGACCUGGAUCAUUCGAAGCCCAGAGCCUUGCACAGCAGCGAUCUGCUCCAACAGAGGGUGAUGUCAUCAUCCGAGGCCACACAAAUAAUGCAUUUCUCACCAUCAAAAAGCUUCUGAAGCCAUGUUCUCAAAGGCAAAAAAUAAAUAAAUAAAUAACCAAUUAACUACACCAGUGUAAGGGUGAAACAAGUUCUUAUCUGAUAAAACUGACUUAUAAACACAGGUUAUCUCUUCCCCCUUUGAAACAGCCUCACUGUAUUUAAAUGAAAUGCGCUACA
rnacentral:lncRNA from 1 species